CCUGAUGCAGCGACGCCGCGUGAGGGAUGAAGGCCUUCGGGUUGUAAACCUCUUUCGACAGGGACGAAGCGUGAGUGACGGUACCUGUAGAAGAAGCGCCGGCCAACUACGUGCCAGCAGCCGCGGUAAGACGUAGGGCGCAAGCGUUGUCCGGAUUUAUUGGGCGUAAAGAGCUCGUAGGCGGCUCGUUGCGUCGGCUGUGAAAACCCGCAGCUCAACUGUGGGCUUGCAGCCGAUACGGGCGGGCUGGAGUUCGGUAGGGGAGACUGGAAUUCCUGGUGUAGCGGUGAAAUGCGCAGAUAUCAGGAGGAACACCGGUGGCGAAGGCGGGUCUCUGGGCCGAUACUGACGCUGAGGAGCGAAAGCGUGGGGAGCGAACAGGAUUAGAUACCCUGGUAGUCCACGCUGUAAACGUUGGGCGCUAGGUGUGGGGGGCCUCUCCGGUUCUCUGUGCCGCAGCUAACGCAUUAAGCGCCCCGCCUGGGGAGUACGGCCGCAAG
rnacentral:rRNA from 1 species